CAGGCAGUUCCGGCCAAGGGGGAGACCAGGCAGGACUGCUGUGUGAAGACCGAGCUGCUGGGAGAGGAAGAGCUCUCUAUGGCUGCCGAUGAGGGCUCCCCUGAGAAGCCGGGAGAAGAUGCCUACGUGGCUGCAGACGGGGCCACCAACGGGUCCUGUGAAAGGAGUGAUACCGGCAGGCAUGUCACCCCAGCUGAGCACACUCAGGACAAUGCAAACGCCAGCCCCCAGGAAGGUCCCAAUAAACUGACCCGGAUCGCGGAGAACGGGGUUUCAGAAAGAGACGCGGACGUGGGGAAGCAGAACCACGACCCGGCUGACGACCUCACGCAGACGGCCGUCAUCGGGAGCAACGGGUACUUCCUGAGUAAACCAGCCCUGCAGGAGCCGGCCCUGCGGGUCCCCAGCACCUUGGCACCCUCCCUUCCCGGCCAUGCUGCGAAGACUCUCCCAGGAGCGGCUGGCAAAGGGCGGACUCCCAGUGUGCUCUCUCAGACGCCAGCCGCCGCGCCAGCCAGGCCCGGGGAAGGGAGCAAAGACUCAGAGGACAAGAAGCCCGCGGCCCUGGGCGCAGAUGUCAAGGUUCAUAGGGCUCGGAAGACCAUGCCGAAGUCCGUCCUGGGCCUGCCCGCAGCCAGCAAGGACCCCCGAGAAGCUCGAGGUCAUGAGGAGCCCGCAGAGGAGAUCAGCAAGGACGUUUCUGAUUUUGGACGACAGCAGCUUUUGCCCCCCUUCCCACCCCUUCAUCAGUCGCUACCUCAGAACCAGUGCUACGUGGCCCCCACGAAGUCACAGACAGCUUCCUUGCCUUUUGUUUUAGCAGCUGCAGUGUCUCGAAAGAAAAAACGAAGAAUGGGAACCUAUAGUCUGGUUCCCAGGAAAAAGACCAAAGUAUUAAAACAGAGGACGGUGAUUGAGAUGUUUAAGAGCAUAACUCACUCCACUGCCGGCUCCAAGAGCGAGAAGGACCUGGGCGACAGCACCCUCCACGUGAACGGGGAGAGCAUGGAGAUGGACUCGGAGGAGGAGGACUCCGAGGAGCUGGACGAGGAGGAGGACCAGGGCUCCGAGCAGGCUGCCGCCUUUCCCACGGACGACAGCAGGACUUCCAAAGAGAGUGUGUCGGGGAGUGACCGCACCCAGAAGAUGGAUGGCGAGUCUGAGGAGGAGGAGUCGGCCGGCACCGGGGAGGAGGAGGAGGACGGAGACGAGUCCGACCUGAGCUCCGAGUCCAGCAUCAGGAAGAAGUUCCUCCGGAGGAAAGGGAAGCCUGACAGCCCCUGGGUCAAGCCGGCCAGGAAGCGGAGGCGGAGAAGCAAGAGGAAGCCCUGCAGCGCGCUGGGUCCUGAGGCGUACACAUCUUCUUCGGGGAGCGCAGAGCCGGUGGCCCCGGGGGACAGUGCGGGGUACAUGGAAGUGUCUCUGGACUCCCUGGAUCUCCGUGUCAAGGGAACGCUGCCCUCGCCAGCAGGGCUGGCUAACGGUCCCGACACGGGGGAGACGGACGGCCUCCAGGAAGUGCCCCUCUGCAGCUGCCGGAUGGAGACCCCGAAAAGCCGAGAGAUCACCACUCUGGCCAACAACCAGUGCAUGGCCCUGGAGAGCGUGGACCACGAGGUGCAGACGUGGAUGGGCCGGCGGCCGGCGAGCCUCCAGCACCCGUCACUCAGCCUGUCCACAGACCCACCCGCCCUCUCCCAGGACUUUCCUCCGUGACAGAGGCACUCACACGCCUGGCCCCGCCUAACCCUAACCGCCUCUGCCAUCUGCAGCCCGACUCGUCGCCCUCGGCCCUCAUCCUGGCUGUGAGCUGGCAUUCCAGUGCAGACCCACAUACCACUAAAUAUUUCAGGAUGCGUCUCCCUAAAAAAAGGACAUUUCUCAUGUAACAGAAAUAGUGACUUCCUGUUACAUAAUGCCCAGUUCAGAGUCAGAUGUGUCUGUGAAAAACCGUCCUCUUACAGUUUUUCCCCAAAGUCCUCCUGUGGCAUUUGCUGUGUGUGUCCUGUGUUUCUGCCUCUUUUCACCCAAACACUCUCGCCGCCGCUCCUCUCUUGUCCACGCUGCUGGGCGACCUGGACCCACCUGGACGCUGGGGCUGAGGCUUCCCAUCUGUCACAUCGGGUCCUCAUCCCGUGGCCCGAGCGCUCGAGGUUCAGGCGCCACGCUUCAGCUCUGUCCAUUUCCUGCUGCCCAGAAUGCUCUGGAGCAGGUCUGUGUGGCGGCCGGUGGCCCCGCCUUUAGUCCUCAGCCUUCCCGUGUCCUCGGGCACUGCCAUUCCUCCCGCAGUCCCGGCUGGGACUCUGGCACAGAAGACUUCCCCUCUGCUGGCCCUGAGGACACCCCCUACGGCACACAGCAUCACAGCUGCUGCUCGGCCUCUUCAUUUUCCAAGCAAAGAGCUGGUGCCCAGCGACCUCUGCAGCCCGCCCGUUCCUCGGCUCCUUUGUGGACGGUGCUGACUGGCUGUUUCUCUGAUGUCUGUGUUAGUUCUUUGUGGGGGUGGCUGGCCGUGAGGGUUCUGUUAUUCGGGUGGUUUUACAGGAAGGCUUGUCUUCUCCUCCAGUGUCUCACACCAUCUCGAGUGUUUCGUUCGUUUCCCAGUCCUUCGGGCAAUGUGUUCCAUCCUCUCCUGAGGUUGACCAGUUCUCCCUUUCAAACAUCAUUGUGGACUGAAUAUAUAUGGAUAUGUAUUUCUUAAUUUUUUAUGUUUUUAUUGGUUUUAGAGAGAGAUGAAGGGAGAGAAAUAGAAACUAAUGAGAGAGAAACAUCGAUCAGCUGCCUCCUGCACGCCCCCUCCUGGGGAUCGAGCACCCAACCCAGGCCUGUGCCCUGAUGGGAAUUGAACCAGUGACCUCCUGGUUCAUAGGCCGACGCUCAAUCACUUAGCCACACCGGCCGGGCUACAUGAAUAUAUUUGGGGUUUCAUUUUUGUGUUUCAUUCUUAUUGGUGCUCAAACAGUCCCAUCUUUGGCUCACAUGCCCUCUCCACGUGGGACCUUUCCUGGGGUCAUGACUGUCCUCGCGAUGCUGAGAGGUUCCGUGCCUUUCACUGCUUCUCUCAAAGGGCCCGGAGCAUUUCCUAGGUGUGAAGGUCCAUGUGACUCUGGAAUCAGUCGUUUCCAUGGUGUUGCAGAACCAUUAAGAGCGCAAGACACCCGUGGACUUCACAGGAGCCACUCUGAAACUGGAAGAUGGUGGAGAUUUUCAAGUGCAACCAGUCCUUUUUUUUUGUUUGUUUAAUUAAUCCUCACCUAGGAUAUUUUUCCAUUGAUUUUCAGAGUGGAAGAGGGAAGGAAAGACAGAAAUAUCAAUGUGAGAGAAAUACAUCAAUUGGUUGCCUCCUGCACACACCUGACCAGGGGCCGGGGAGGAGCCUACAACUGAGGUAUAUGCCCUUGACUGGAAUCAAACCUGGGACCCUUUGGUCCACAGACCGACACUCUCUCCACUGAGCCAAACAGGCUAGGAUACAACCAAUCUUCUAAGAAAUGACUAUGUUCCUUUUUUCUUUUUUAAUUAAUUUUUUUUAACCACCAGUUUAUUCAACACAACAAUCCCUCCAGCUUUACUGAGGUGGUUGACCAUGUCCAUGACUAAGUCUGCCUCUCAACUGGAAGUCAGGGUUUAAUUCCCGGUCAGGGCACAGGCCUGGGUUGUGGGCUCGAUCCCAGUGUGGGGCGUGCAGGAGGCAGCCGAUCAGUGAUUCUCUCUCGUCAUUGAUGUUUCUAUCUCUCCUCUGAAAUCAAUAAAAUUAUAUUAAAAAAAUUUUUGCUAUUUUGGAAAUAAGUUUUUUAUGUUAGCAUAUGAUAGAUAUAUUGCUAUUUUAAAAUAAAUUAUUACUUAAAAAAUUUUAAUUUUCAAGAACCAAGAUCAUGGUGUAGGUAAACACCUGUACUUACCACCUCUCACAACUACAUCAAAAUUACAACUAAAAUACAGAACAAUUAUCACUCAGAACCACCUGAAAGCUGGCUGAAUGCAAGUCCUACAACUAGAGAAAUAAAGAAGAAAGCACAUGGAGACUGGUAGGAGGGAUGAGGCGCGGAAAGGGCUGGUCUGAAACCCACCUGUGUUGGUUGUUGUUUUUUUUUAAUUGGGAGGGAGAUAGUCUCUGAGCAGUUUUUCCAUAUGAAUGGCCUGUCCUGGCUCAGGCUUCAGACUUUGCUAAAAUCUCUCAAACAAGCUGCUUCUGGGUCAGCAUGCCCCAAACCCAUCAAUUAAAGGCUUAAGCCCCGGCACUAGCACCAGCCUGCCUUGCUUCACAGCUGGGCCUCAUUUGGGCACCUCCAGGACAAAUACAAAUAGGAGGAAUCUGCAGAUCUCUCUGUAGCUCCUGCUAAGUGGCCCCAGGCAGUGGCUGACUUUGCACCACCCGGGAUGCCCUAGAGCCAGUGCACCAGCAUGACAGCUUUAGACUAUACCAGAUUUACAACUCUGCACACCCACAAGCCACCCACAAGGGGCAGACUCAGCACCAAAGCCCCACUGCUCCAUAUGAAGCCAGUCCUGCUCCAUAGGGGUGUCUCCUGCACAGCAGCUCUCCCAUUGUAGUUGCAGCUGGUCCUCACAGCCAAUUGGCCUGGAGGUCAACUCCUCCCAAUGACUCCAACAGCAAUCAAGGCUCAGCUAAGAGACUGUGCACACAGCCCACACAGGCUGAGCCACCGGGCCUACAGGACACAUACUACACAAGACCACUCUGCCACCUCCAGGACACAUAGCAUCUCUACGUGAUACUUAGAAACAAACACGGGAGCAGCCAAAAUGCAGAGACAAACAUGUCACAAAUGAAAGAAAUGGAAGCAAGCAAACAACGGGAUACAGAGUUCAAAACCGUGGUUACUGGAUUACUCAUGGAUCUCAGAAUGCCCAAGGUAUGAAACAGGACCAGUCAGAAACGAAGCACACACUGACUGAAAUAAGUAAUAACCUACAGGGAUUCAACAGUAGAGUAGAGGAUUCUGAAAAUCAGAUCAAUGAUUUGGAAUAUGAGGAAGCAAAAAAUACCCAAUCAGAAGAACAAAAGAAAAAAGAUUAAAGAAAUGUGAAGAUAGUGUAAGGAGCCCCUGGGACAACUUCAAGCGAACCA